AUACUUACCUGGCAAGGGAGGUACUAUGAUCACGAAGGUGGAUUUCCCAGGGCAAGGCUUAUCCAUAGCACUCAGGAUGUGCUGACCCCUGCAAUUUCAUCAAAUGUGAGAAACUUGACUGCAUAAUUUAUGGUAAUAGGGACUGCAUUCAUAAUCUUUU
ensembl:snRNA U1 U1 spliceosomal RNA